rnacentral:rRNA from 1 species
AUGGGGACGCCCUGGGGAAGCGGUGAUGGCGACGGCGAGAACUUGAUCUGGUGGAUCGGGACUCCCGUCGGCGCGGUCAAUGCGGGGCCGGAGCUGACCGGCGAUGGCUGUUGUAGUUGCAGCGGCUGCUGCGGCGGAGCGCCGGGCGCGGCGGAGGUUGCCAGGAGCGGUGGCUGCCACUGCAGCCAGGGCAGGGCGGUGGUGGCGGUGGAUGGCAGCUGCUGCAGCGGCCCGGUGAGCGCGGCGGAGGCCACCUGGUGCGGCGGCUGCCACGGCAGCCAGGACAAGGCGGUGGUGGCGGUGGAUGGCAGCUGCAGUGGCUGCUGUAGCAGCCCGGCGAGCGCGGCGGAGGCCACCUGGUGCGGCGGCUGCCAUGGAAGCCAGGCCGGGGCGGUGGAUGGCAGCUGCAGCAGCCCGGCGAGCGCGGCGGGGGGCGCCUGGUGCGGCGGCUGCCACGGCAGCCACAUCGGCGCGAUGGCGGUGAUGGGCGGCGCAGCCGGGUGCGGCCCGUAG